AAACAAAAUGGCGGAGGCUUCGAAAUCUACAAUGAGCGAACCAGCCAAAACAGAGGGAGAGAUGAGAAGAAAUAAACGCGUGAGACAGCCAUCUAAGAGAAUGUUGUUGUAUUUUCAGGACACAGAUUCAGAUUCAAGUCUACAGAAGGGUAAAGGAAAACGUCCUGCCAGAAAGUUGAUACAUUAGCAACAACAACUAAGGGGACAAUGGAACACCAUAGCACGUCUGACAAUGAACCAGUACUGGCUUUUGUUCCUUCAAGUUCUGAUGAGUCUGAAGGAGAACCACUCAGUGAGAGAGAGGAUGAUUUAAGAACCAAAUGAAAGGGAAGGAAAAGAGGAAGUAAGAAAGUGAAAGGGCGCUGUUAUGUCCAUGAAGAACAAGAAAAAAAUAAUCUAAGGUUCGUUUUUCGUGUUUGUUGAAAAUAUAGA